GCACUUCCGAUCUGCCUGGCUGCUGCUGCAGGGACCCUGGGAGGGGGACAGAGGCUCAGUGGCAGCCCCUGCUGAUCCCCCACCUGCCCAGCCCCC